UACGUAGGGGGCAAGCGUUGUCCGGAAUCAUUGGGCGUAAAGAGCGUGUAGGCGGCCUGGUAAGUCCGCUGUGAAAGUCCAGGGCUCAACCCUGGAAUGCCGGUGGAAACUGUCAGGCUCGAGUCCGGAAGAGGCGAGUGGAAUUCCUGGUGUAGCGGUGAAAUGCGCAGAUAUCAGGAGGAACACCAAUGGCGAAGGCAGCUCGCUGGGACGGUACUGACGCUAAGGCGCGAAAGCGUGGGGAGCGAACAGG
rnacentral:rRNA from 1 species